UACGUAGGGUGCGAGCGUUAAUCGGAAUUACUGGGCGUAAAGCGUGCGCAGGCGGUUUGCCAAGUCAGAUGUGAAAGCCCCGGGCUCAACCCGGGAACUGCGUUUGAAACUGGCAGGCUAGAGUUUGGCAGAGGGGGGUGGAAUUCCACGUGUAGCAGUGAAAUGCGUAGAGAUGUGGAGGAACACCGAUGGCGAAGGCAGCCCCCUGGGCCAAAACUGACGCUCAUGCACGAAAGCGUGGGGAGCAAACAGG
rnacentral:rRNA from 1 species